UAAAAAUUUUAUUUAUGUUUAAAAAAUUAAUAUAAUAAUUUUAUUACAUGUAAAUUUUUGUCUUUUUUUUUAUAAUUUUUAGAUGGAAUAUAAAAUAAAUUAAGUUGUGCAGUAUUUUGAAUUAAAAAUUAAGGAAAUUUAGAUUUAAAAAUUUAUUUAAAUAUUAACAUAAUUUGUGCCAGCAGUUGCGGUUAUUCAAAUAAUAUAAUUAAUUUUUAUUAAUUUUAUAAUUAAUAGUAGAUUGAUAUUGAAAAUUAUAAUUUAUUAGGUGAAAUUUUAAAUUAUAGAAUUAUAUAUAUAUAAAUAAUGUAUGUAUGAGGUUAUUAAAUUUUAUAUUAAACUAGGAUUAGAUACCCUAUUAUAAAAAUGUAAAUAUAAAAAAUUUAAUUAUUAAUAGUUAUAGUCUUGAAAGUUAAAAAAUUUGGCGGUAUUUUAAUCUAUUUAGAGGAACCUGUUUUGUGAUUGAUAUUCCACGAUUAAAUAUACUUAUUUUAAUAGCUUAUAUAUCGUUGUAGUUAAAUAUUUUAAAAAAAUAUUAAUGUUUAAGAUUUUAUGAAUAAUAAAAAAAUAAAUCAGAUCAAGAUAUAGUUUAUAAAUAAGAUUUAAUGGGUUACAAUAAAUUUAAAUUUAUGGAAUUUAUUUUGAAAAAAUAAGUGAAAUUGGAUUUAAUAGUAAUUAGAUUAUUAUUGAUUUAAUGAUUAAGUUCUAAAAUAUGUACAUAUUGCCCGUCGCUCUCAUUUAAGUUGAGAUAAGUCGUAACAAAGUAAAUGUACUGGAAAGUGUAUUUAGGUAGGG
rnacentral:ncRNA from 1 species